UAAUAAGACAGGUUAGACUACCGGCACAGAUCUCAGCUCUCGUUAGUGUUUUGUGUUUACGCUCUAUGACGAACAUACAUAUGUACAUAUUUAUAUACAUCAGUACGUACAUAGACCGGUUCGGUUCCUUUUGAAUAAUAGAACAAUGGAUAACAAAAAUUUAAGUAAAUUAUUUAAUAGUUUUAUGCAAAUGAAAUUUUUUAUGCAAUCUUUGACUUGUUAUUGUUAUCGGAACUAAACAAUUUUCUCUCCCAUCACUAGAAGUUGAACAUCAAUGAACGCAAGAAACAAAUAAUUAGUUUUCCUACGUUUUGAUUUGGAGGCGGCAUCGUUUGUAAAAAUAAAAAUUAAACUGUUAUUUUUUUUGUUUAAACUAGUGACAAUUAUUAUUUUUAAAUAAAUUAUUGCUCCGCUCACAUGUUUUUACAUACACUACUAAAAAUAUGUAUAUGUAUAUUCAUAAACUUAUAUAUGUAUGUACAUAUGUAUGUAUGGAUUUGUUCUUUCAGGCACAAUGAGACUAUUGUUUCAAUAAUUCAACUUUUUUGGCCCAUCGAAGUUCGAUUAGAAUUACAUACAUACAUACAUAUGUACAUACACAUAUGAAAAUAGUCUUCGAUAGCAAUUAAAUACCACGUAUGUAUAUACAUAUGUACAUAAACACCACAUACAUGUAUACAUACAUAUAUGUAUGUGCAUACGUUUGCAUAUUGGGUCCUAAGGUGCAUUGCGAGCUUUUGGUCAAAAUCAAUAUGCCGAUUCGAGAAUAGAAUACAUGGCGAUAAAAUUACUAACCAAGCUUAAGAUAUAAACAAAACCUUCUAUGUACAUCCAACUAGAAAAGUUUUAUAUUUUCGACCUCGCAUAUGUAUGUACAUAUGUAUGUAUGUUCUGCAUGCUUACAUGCAUAAACACGUGUAUUAUAUGUUCCUUUGAUAGCUGGUUUCCAGGCACUAGGAAAAUAUAAAUCAAUAUUCAAGUCCCAGAAAACUUUUAAAUAAAAAUAAACCGGUGCACAUUUCACAUCAAUUUAAAAUACACUGGUUCUUAUACACAUACAUACAUAUGUACAUCUAAGAAAUGUAUCAUCUAUAAUUAAAAAGUAUUAACUGUGCAAUGCUUGUGCGUAUUGCUAUAUAAAGUAAUAUCUCUGAAUAGCACAAAUUAUAUAUGAAUAUAUUGAAUAUUGAAUGUAUCAAAUUUACCACUGAAGCGACAGGUGUCUUAGAGCAAUGUUGAUCCAUUACUGAAAAACGGCACCGCAUCAAAUCAGAAUAGCUACAAUUCGGUUCAUAGUAAUGCACAUACAUACAUAUGUAUGCAUGUAUGCAUGUGCAUACUGCAAAGAGUUGAUAUUCGGGAGCAAGUUUAUGUAUCCUGAUUUUCUUGCACGGGAGCUUUUUGAGCUUAAUUUUAAGACGCCCCGCCCCCAAUAAGGAUGCCACAUGGAUAUCUGGUUUUUACCAAUGAACAUACAUAUGUACAUAUGUAUGUAUAUAAAUAUACGGUAUUUUAGGCCUUUAAUCAUGUUUAAGAAUAUUCCAUCGUGAGUUUAAUUUGUGUACAAAAGUACAUAUUUAUAGAUGUUGCUAUACACACACACACAAACCAGUGUAUAUAAGGCUGUUUCCUUGUGACAAAUGUCCAUAUUGCUUGCGCAUGAAUAUUCCAAAUUUUCCAACCUCCGUUGCAUUUAUAUUUCUAAGCAAUUCUAUGUAUUACAUUUUGUUCUAUACAGGCCUGUGCCAGGUUUAAAUAAACAUAUUUUAAAUUGAACUCACUGGCAUAUGUAUGUAAUAUGCAAUUAAUUUACAUAUAUGUACGAGUAUACUUACGUACAUAGAUACAUAAGUAUCCUUUAAAAUAUAGGGGCGAGGCAACUAAAGUUGUGUCAACCGAAUUGUAACUUGGCGGACAAAAACGGUUAUGUACGUUUCACAUGUAUACCAUAAAUAUAUAUAAAUAUAAUUAUAUUUUAGCCUAAAAUAAAACAUAUAAAUAUAUGUACCUACAUAUUUGCAUAUGGGUAUAUUUUUGAAUUUGAGAUGUCUUAUAUAUAUAUAUAUGUAUGUCAGUAGAUGAGAAUAAAGCACAUAAAAAUGUGUGUAUGUAUAAAUGUAUGUACACAUGUUCAAAUCUGUAUAUAUAUUAUAUUUAAAAUAUACCUUAUAAAUGAACGUUAUGAUGUAUUAGUUUGGUUCACUAAAAAUAAUGUAUUACGAAUACAUAUAUCAGUGAAUCGGGGAAUCAGAAAAUGUUAAUUAUGACAAUAGUUAAAUGUCAAUACGAAAAAUAAAAGUUCCGAUAUGCGAACAUACAUAUGUAUAUCUAUGUAUAAGUUUGUAUGAUAUAGCGAACUGAGAACACACGACGAGUAAAAAUAGAUAUAGAAAUUUAAAGAACGUCCGUUUGCUUGAAAUUCGAAUUCAAUACUGAAUGACGAGACUUUACAGUCUCGUUUGGUUCGAUUAAUGUAGAAGUGCCGAGCAGAAAAGCUUCGUGCUGAAUUUUUUCCCUGACUUUCGUGUAGCAAAAUUAAGACUUACGGCCACGAAGGCCAUAUUUGCUGCAGACAUACAAUGCUAGGAGUAUGCGCAGUGAUGUUUCCAUAUUCCAAACUUUCUUUACGUCGAAUGCAGUCGCUUGUUGCUAACAAAUUCAAAUUGGUGUCGAAAGCUAUUUUUUUUGACCAGACAGAAACAAAACGUGGGCCGGUAAAGCCUCUUUAUCGGGAUCAGAAUAAAACAGGAAUUUUGAUUAAGAUGGAUAGAUAAUAUAUUUGUAUUAAUGAAGACUCAUUAAAAAUGCCAAAACAACUUUUGUGAUAUUUUUUUUUUUUUAAACAGAAUAAUUGCGCUAUUAAAUUUUAUAUACAUAUUUGGUAGUUGGUACUGACUGGUGACACAGCUUUCAAACGAAAUAAUUUAAAAUGAACUGGAAUGUUAUGGUACCUAGUCAGCAUAUAUGCGAGCUUAUGAUUUAUGUAAUUUAUACAAUAUAUUUUAUAUGUAAUCUUCUAUCGCUGUUCGCAAAAGGGAAAAAUUGAUUUUUUGGCAAAAAUAAAUUCGUACAAAUCGAUCGAACCGUUUCGGAGAUUUAAAAA